CCCCGUCGUGGCUGCGCGGGGCCGCGGGGGUCACCGCCCCUCGGGCGGGCCAGCCGGAGGCGGCUGGGUCACGAUGCCAGUCCACAGCCCGGGCGGAUAUCCAGCCUGCUAGGCCCUGCCUCGGAGGAACCUGCCUGCUUCAGGAAAGGAGUGCGAGGUGGUGUCCGUCUCUCUGUCAAGCUUUUCCUGCCUUCAGGCCUCUGCCCGCUCCCUCUGCUGUCCUCUCAGGAAAUGAGCUGCUGACGUCAUCACCCGUGCAUUCAUUUAUUCAGUUCACCCGUGAAUUCAGAUUUAUCCAUAGAACUCCAGUUCUUUGCCCAAUACUUACAGUUCAAGCAUCUGGAAAGGAAACAGUGAAAAAUAAUGUUCAAUAAGUUUCCCAGUUCCAUGGAGCACACAGUUUUGUGAGGUCAGAAUUACAUAUGCAAGUAAGUAAGCGUAUAAGCAAGUUCGGGGC
rnacentral:lncRNA from 1 species